GACGAACCGUGCGAACGUUGUUCGGAAUCACUGGGCUUAAAGGGCGCGUAGGCGGGCAUUCAAGUCGGUGGUGAAAUCCUCCAGCUUAACUGGAGAAGAGCUGUCGAUACUGGAUGUCUCGAGGGGUGCAGGGGUCUGCGGAACUUCGGGUGGAGCGGUGAAAUGCGUAGAUAUCUGGAGGAACACCGGUGGCGAAGGCGGCAUCCUGGACCGACACUGACACUGAGGAGCGAAAGCCAGGGGAGCAAAGCGGG
rnacentral:rRNA from 1 species